rnacentral:rRNA from 1 species
ACGACGCUGGCGGCGCGUCUUAAACAUGCAAGUCGAACGGCAAGAGAAAAGCUUGCUUUUCUCCUAGAGUGGCGGACUGGUGAGUAACACGUGGGUGACAUACCUUUUAGAUGGGGAUAGCUGCUAGAAAUAGUAGGUAAUACCGAAUGUGACCGCAUCUGGUAAUCAGGUGCGAGGAAAGGAGCUAAGGCUUCGCUAAAAGAAUGGCUCGCGGCCCAUUAGCUAGUUGGUGAGGUAACGGCCCACCAAGGCAAUGAUGGGUAUCCGGCCUGAGAGGGUGAACGGACACAUUGGGACUGAGAUACGGCCCAGACUUCUACGGGAGGCAGCAGUUAAGAAUAUUCCGAAAUGGACGAAAGUCUGACGGAGCGACGCCGCGUGGAUGAAGAAUGCCGAAAGGUUGUAAAAUCCUUUUAAGCCUGAGGAAUAAGCAGAGGAGGGAAUGCCUUUGCGGUGACUGUAGGGCUUGAAUAAGCAACGGCUAAUUACGUGCCAGCAGCCGCGGUAACACGUAAGUUGCGAGCGUUGUUCGGAAUUAUUGGGCGUAAAGGGCAUGUAGGCGGAAAUGCAAGCUUGAUGUGAAAUACUGCAGCUUAACUGCGGAACUGCAUUGAGAACUGCGUAUCUUGAAUUACUGAAGGGUAACCGGAAUUCCACGUGUAGGGGUGAAAUCUGUAGAUAUGUGGAAGAACACCAAUGGCGAAGGCAGGUUACCGGCAGAUAAUUGACGCUGAGGUGCGAAAGUGCGGGGAGCGAACAGGAUUAGAUACCCUGGUAGUCCGCACCGUAAACGAUGUACACUAGGUGUCCGGCGUGAAGCCGGGUGCCAAAGCAAACGUGAUAAGUGUACCGCCUGGGGAGUAUGCCCGCAAGGGUGAAACUCAAAGGAAUUGACGGGGGCCCGCACAAG